rfam:TPA: Bos taurus chromosome 8, whole genome shotgun sequence.
UCCCUGGUGGCUCAGAGGUUAAAGCGUCUGCCUGCAAUGUGGGAGACUCGGGUUUGAUCCCUGAGUUGGGAA